GAUGAACGCUAGCGGGAGGCCUAACACAUGCAAGCCGAGCGGUAUUGUUUCUUCGGCAAUGAGAGAGCGGCGUACGGGUGCGUAACACGUGUGCAACCUGCCUUUAUCUGGGGGAUAGCCUUUCGAAAGGAAGAUUAAUACUCCAUAAUAUAUUGAACGGCAUCGUUUAAUAUUGAAAGCUCCGGCGGAUAGAGAUGGGCACGCGCAAGAUUAGCUAGUUGGUGAGGUAACGGCUCACCAAGGCGAUGAUCUUUAGGGGGCCUAGAGGGUGAUCCCCCACACUGGUACUGAGACACGGACCAGACUCCUACGGGAGGCAGCAGUGAGGAAUAUUGGUCAAUGGGUGCAAGCCUGAACCAGCCAUCCCGCGUGAAGGACGACUGCCCUAUGGGUUGUAAACUUCUUUUGUAUAGGGAUAAACCUACCCUCGUGAGGGUAGCUGAAGGUACUAUACGAAUAAGCACCGGCUAACUCCGUG
rnacentral:rRNA from 1 species